AGUGAACGCUGGCGGUAGGCCUAACACAUGCCAGUCGAACGGCAGCACAGUAAGAGCUUGCUCUUACGGGUGGCGAGUGGCGGACGGGUGAGGAAUACAUCGGAAUCUACUUUUUCGUGGGGGAUAACGUAGGGAAACUUACGCUAAUACCGCAUACGACCUACGGGUGAAAGCAGGGGAUCUUCGGACCUUGCGCGAUUGAAUGAGCCGAUGUCGGAUUAGCUAGUUGGCGGGGUAAAGGCCCACCAAGGCGACGAUCCGUAGCUGGUCUGAGAGGAUGAUCAGCCACACUGGAACUGAGACACGGACCCGACUCCUACGGGAGGCAGCAGUGGGGAAUAUUGGACAAUGGGCGCAAGCCUGAUCCAGCCAUACCGCGUGGGUGAAGAAGGCCUUCGGGUUGUAAAGCCCUUUUGUUGGGAAAGAAAAGCAGCAGGUUAAUACCCCGCUGUUCUGACGGUACCCAAAGAAUAAGCACCGGCUAACUUCGUG
rnacentral:rRNA from 1 species